rnacentral:rRNA from 1 species
AACGAACGCUGGCGGCAGGCCUAACACAUGCAAGUCGAACGGACCCUUCGGGGUCAGUGGCAGACGGGUGAGUAACGCGUGGGAAUCUACCCGGUUCUUCGGAAUAACCCAGGGAAACUUGGGCUAAUACCGGAUACGCCCUUAGGGGGAAAGAUUUAUCGGAAUUGGAUGAGCCCGCGUCGGAUUAGCUAGUUGGUGGGGUAAUGGCCUACCAAGGCGACGAUCCGUAGCUGGUCUGAGAGGAUGAUCAGCCACACUGGGACUGAGACACGGCCCAGACUCCUACGGGAGGCAGCAGUGGGGAAUAUUGGACAAUGGGCGCAAGCCUGAUCCAGCCAUGCCGCGUGAGUGAUGAAGGCCUUAGGGUUGUAAAGCUCUUUCAGCGGGGA